rnacentral:rRNA from 1 species
GUGGGGAAUCUUCCGCAAUGGACGAAAGUCUGACGGAGCAACGCCGCGUGAGUGAUGAAGGUCUUCGGAUUGUAAAGCUCUGUUAAUCGGGACGAAAGAGCCUAGUGUGAAUAAUGCUAGGAAGUGACGGUACCGGAAUAGAAAGCCACGGCUAACUACGUGCCAGCAGCCGCGGUAAUACGUAGGUGGCAAGCGUUGUCCGGAAUUAUUGGGCGUAAAGCGCGCGCAGGCGGAUCUGCCAGUCUGUCUUAAAAGUUCGGGGCUUAACCCCGUGAUGGGAUGGAAACUACAGAUCUAGAGUAUCGGAGAGGAAAGUGGAAUUCCUAGUGUAGCGGUGAAAUGCGUAGAUAUUAGGAAGAACACCAGUGGCGAAGGCGACUUUCUGGACGAAAACUGACGCUGAGGCGCGAAAGCCAGGGGAGCGAACAGGAUUAGAAACCCUGGUAGUCC